ensembl:lncRNA
UUUUUUUUUCUUUCUUUCUUUAAUGACAAAUCUCUGCUUAGAGGUCAAGGAAAGUUCACUUAAUUUUUUUCUUCCUUGCCGUUAGAAGGUUGGGAUGCACGACAUUUCCUCCUCCUCAGUGCAGUUUCUUCAUAUGCUCGAGCUCUGCAGCCAAAUUAUCUUAUCCUGAAUAUAGAUCUUCAAAGCUGAUUGAAAUCUACCGGUGUGGAAAUACUCAGUCAUACGUUGGAAAGGAUCUGGGCCAAAUCCUGACUUAUUUUUUUGUGUGUAAACUGAAGUCAGUGGGAGUUGUGACCGUGGAAGCAGCGCUGUGCUUGCUCUUUUGUUAGCAGAUCCGUCUGCUGAUAUGUGCCCUGACCUUCCAGUUUGCUGCUAUGUUGGACGGAUAACUGUAGCUUAGCCUGAGCAAUUGUCGUUAUUGUGGUGUGUUUUAAGGGAAAAAAAAAUUGUUUGCUGGGUGUAAGUCGAGUUAUGAGCCUUAAUUUGGGGAAGGAGAGGUGUUGUGAGAUGGAGGUGUGUGGGAGCAUGAGUAGAUGUGUAUUCCAGACACAAGUGAGUGGGAAAGCUCAUUGCCGUGAAACAUGUCAUGGCUUCAUGCAUGUCAGUGCUUAAGGAUACAGCGUCCUGAGGCCAACACGUUUAGGGAAAAGCUGUGCUUUACACAUGUCAUAGCUGAUCCUUAAGACUGCUUUAGCACACAGGCGAGUAGUCAGAAAGAAAAAACGCUGCGUAGAUAAGCCUACCUUCUUGGUGAGGAUCUACUGCAGUAGAUCCGCGUGUUUUUAAGCAGCGCUCAAGAACAGGACUAAGAACUGAAGCUGACCUGACCCACAGAGGCUGCAUUUCAUUUCUUCCUGGGCAUGUGUGUGCAGCAGCUCUCCAGCCCGUGUGGCUGCCGGCCUGCCUGCGCCUUGGCCUGCCAGACAAUGGGAACGAAUCAUGUGAGGAAACUCGAGAGCUGUGCUGUGUGAGGUUUGUUAGGGGUUCUUACUGGAUUUCGAUGCAACUCUGGAGUGCUCGCUUCAUCCCUGUGACCUGAAGAUCCUCAGGAUGGUACUGAGAGCUCCGUAGCCCCUUUUGGGAUUCCUGCCCCGGUCUGAGGGAUCAAACCCUCAUAGUUUACUUUAAACUGCGAGGAGGAGCUUGAGAGAAAUUUCCCUGGAGCUGGGUGAGCCCGAGUUCUCCACAGCUACCAGAGAGGAUCUGUUCAAGGCACGAUCAGGUUACCCUAAGGGCAGGGAUUUGUCCUUGCUGCAAUUUUGACCCCACAACCACUGGGAGGGAAGAAGGAAGUGGAAGAGGCAGAGAGACGAAUCGGGUCGCAUUACUGAGGUCUCACCACGAAUCUGCAAAAUGCAGGACCAGAGUUUGGUUUCCCUUCUUUCAUGCGGUGCCUUGGUUGUUCAUCAGAUGCUUCUGCCUUUCCAUCAUUGAGUCUGGAAGAUGGAUAAAAUGGAAAUUGGUUGUGACUUCCUCUCUGUUCACCUGAUGAAUGCAGUGAAGAAUGAUGCCGUUUCAAAAGAUGUGAAUUUUGACCUUGCUGGAUAUCUAGGGAAACCUGGCUAGUAUGUAUAUAGUUUCCAUCUCAGCUGUCAGACUUUUUGGUUCUCCAUUGUUGCUCGCUUCUGCCUUUGCAGCCUGGCAUACUUAAUAAUAGGCCCUUUAUUUUAGCCACAUGAGUGUCAGUGUUAAGUGCUUCUACUGAAGCAUAGUAGCUAAAGGAAAACACUUUGUCCAUAUUAACUUAAAAACUUGGGAUAACUUGAUUAUAGUUUCUGUAAUACGUGGUAUCAGAUUUCAUCUGGGAAAUGUUUUAUAAAUACUCUCAGCUUAAAAUCUUGUAGUAUGGAAUAUUUUUGGACAGAUGACUGUGAAAUCACUAUUAUAUUUUCUUCAGAUGCUACAUCCUUUAGCUAUUUAGAACCAGCCAAGACAGAGGUUUUGCUUUGGGGAUGGGACAAGGCUUUGCAAAUGAACUGGGAUGCCACAGAGGCUGAAGCACUCGUUUUGAAGCUAAUGCUUAAUCUCUGUCCUGAAGAUCGUUUAAAAUUAGAAGGGUGGUAGUUCCACCAAAUGGAGAGGACCCUAACAGCUCAAUUUUUCUCUGCUGCAGCCACAGGUUUCCUUGCUGAGUAACUCUGUUGCUCAACCUGCUGUGAACUGGUGGAACUGUUUUGCAGAACGUUGGUGGUUGUUUUUGCCAGGUGAAUGGGGUAACAGACUAAGCAGGGGAGAGAAUUAUGUUGGAGUAUCAACGCUGGCACAAGGGGAUGAAGGAAAGCCUUUUUCUCUUUGCUUGGGAGCGAGCUGUCAGAGCUACUCAUCUGCUUGCAGACUGGUGACCUUGCUGGCCAAAGGCAGCUGUUGGAGGUAACCUGUUGUAAACGAGUACUCCCAGAUGGAGACUUCCCCAAAAUGCUUUCCAAGGAAAGGUCUAAUUUACAGUUUUUCUUUUUUCCCAGAUGCUUACGUUGGUGAUUAGCAUGGUGAGGUUAGUCUGCCAACAGUUACGUCAGUCACAAAGCCCUGGUGUAGUUAUAUUGGCAGCAAAAUGACAGUGAUUAAUGAUAUAGUG